rnacentral:rRNA from 1 species
AACGAACGCUGGCGGCAGGCUUAACACAUGCAAGUUGAACGGGAGGUAAUGGUGCUUGCACUAUUACCGAGAGUGGCGCACGGGUGAGUAAUACAUGGGAACAUACCCUGAAGUGGGGGACAACAGUUGGAAACGACUGCUAAUACCGCAUAAUCCCUGCGGGGGAAAGAUUUAUCGCUCUAAGAUGGCCUCGCGUCUGAUUAGCUAGUUGGUAGGGUAACGGCCUACCAAGGCGACGAUCAGUAGCCGGACUGAGAGGUUGGCCGGCCACAUUGGGACUGAGACACGGCCCAGACUCCUACGGGAGGCAGCAGUGGGGAAUAUUGGGCAAUGGGCGCAAGCCUGACCCAGCAACGCCGCGUGAAGGAAGAAGGCUUUCGGGUUGUAAACUUCUUUUGUCAGGGACGAAUUCUGACGGUACCUGACGAAUAAGCCACGGCUAACUACGUG